rnacentral:sRNA from 3 species
GUCGCAGGUUCGAAUCCUGCACGACCCACCAAUUUAACAUCAAACUCAGAUGUUGAACGUGAAGGAUAACGUUGCGUCAGCAACGGCCCGUAGGGCGAGGCGAAGCCGAGUCAUCCUGCACGACCCACCA